rnacentral:rRNA from 1 species
ACGGGGGGGGCAAGCGUUGUUCGGAAUUACUGGGCGUAAAGGGUUUGUAGGUGGCUCGCUAAGUCAGACGUGAAAUCCCUCAGCUUAACUGGGGAACUGCGUCUGAUACUGGUGAGCUUGAGUGCGGGAGAGGAACGCGGAAUUCCAGGUGUAGCGGUGAAAUGCGUAGAUAUCUGGAGGAACACCGGUGGCGAAGGCGGCGUUCUGGACUGCAACUGACACUGAGAAACGAAAGCCAGGGGAGCAAACGGGA